rnacentral:lncRNA from 1 species
AUUUCCUGACUUUGUUCUGUAGGGACACUUCUCUAUAUUAACAAAAAAACUUAUUUGCAUCACAAAAAAUGGAAAUGUUCAUGAUCGUUCGGGAAUUA